GUGGACGUAGUUCAGUUGGUAGAGCACCAGAUUGUGGCUCUGGCUGUCGUGGGUUCGAGUCCCAUCGUUCACC
rnacentral:tRNA from 1 species